rnacentral:tRNA from 1 species
AUUCAUGCGGUUUCUGACGAACAGGACAUGCGAAAAAUGGGAGGUUUAAAAAAACUUCUACCAUU